UGGGGAAUAUUGCACAAUGGGCGCAAGCCUGAUGCAGCCAUGCCGCGUGUGUGAAGAAGGCCUUCGGGUUGUAAAGCACUUUCAGCGAGGAGGAAGGUGGUGAACUUAAUACGUUCAUCAAUUGACGUUACUCGCAGAAGAAGCACCGGCUAACUCCGUGCCAGCAGCCGCGGUAAUACGGAGGGUGCAAGCGUUAAUCGGAAUUACUGGGCGUAAAGCGCACGCAGGCGGUUUGUUAAGUCAGAUGUGAAAUCCCCGGGCUCAACCUGGGAACUGCAUUUGAAACUGGCAAGCUAGAGUCUCGUAGAGGGGGGCUAGAAUUCCAGGUGUAGCGGUGAAAUGCGUAGAGAUCUGGAGGAAUACCGGUGGCGAAGGCGGCCCCCCUGGACGAAGACUGACGCUCAGGUGCG
rnacentral:rRNA from 1 species